AACGCACAUUGCGCCCUUUGGCAUUCCGAAGGGCAUGCCCGUUCGAGCGUCAUUACACCACUCAAGCCUGGCUUGGUAUUGGGCGACGGGACAUCUCCCGCGCCUCUAAUUCUUCGGCUGGACGGUUCGAAUCUCAGCGUUGUGGUUUAAUCAAAAUCGCUGGCGAGGACGACCGGACGCGCCGUGAAAACCUCAUUACAGGUUGACCUCGGAUCGGGUAGGGAUACCCGCUGAACUUAA
rnacentral:misc_RNA from 2 species